UCUUCAAUCUCUUUCUUCUCCUCUUUAUUAUUUAUCCUCUUUUUUUUGAUUUUUUUUGACAGGAAGGGAGGGGCAACUGAGGUAGGGUGAAGGAGACAAGAAAGGGAAAAGAGAAGACAAG
rnacentral:ribozyme from 13 species